CAGUCUCCGCGGUAAUACGUAGGGUGCAAGCGUUAAUCGGAAUUACUGGGCGUAAAGCGUGCGCAGGCGGUUAUAUAAGACAGAUGUGAAAUCCCCGGGCUCAACCUGGGAACUGCAUUUGUGACUGUAUAGCUAGAGUACGGCAGAGGGGGAUGGAAUUCCGCGUGUAGCAGUGAAAUGCGUAGAUAUGCGGAGGAACACCGAUGGCGAAGGCAAUCCCCUGGGCCUGUACUGACGCUCAUGCACGAAAGCGUGGGGAGCAAACAGGAUUAGAUACCCGUGUAGUCCCUGUCUCUUAUAC
rnacentral:rRNA from 1 species